GUUGAGGAUGGCAGGACAACAGGGAAAGAACAGGAUCUCUGUAGUCAGACAAACCUCGAUUCAAGUCCUGGAACAGCCACCCUAGUGUGUGAGGUUGGACAGGACACUUGCGUUCUCCCAGCCUCAGUUCCCCAUCUGUGAGCUGGGAUAACAGUACUACCCACCUCAGAGGAUGGAUGGGGGCAUCACAUGCACGCAGCACAGGGCCUAGUACAUAGUGAACACUCGAAGUUUAUCAGCCAUCAUCAGUGCGUUGCUCUUCUGGGCUCUUCUCCUGGCUUGUAAGGAGAUGGACAAGCAGGGACAAUCCCGGGGUGGUGGGACCAGCGCUCUAGGGCAAGCAAGUGCUGGACGCAGUGGGAACGCUGGAGAAGGGGCCCUAGGACCGCCUGGACAUCCAGAAGGUGCCACCUGGCAUGAGGCUUGAAGGAGGAGGAGCUCCCAGGAGGAUGAGGGGUAAGGGGCUCAGUCCCUUCCCUCAAGCUGCUGAUGGGUGGCCGAGUGUCAUCUCCCGUAGACAACAGAGACCUAGCAAUAAAACAUGAAAGGCUCAAAGAUGGCAGAGCCCGCCAAUGGAAGGACCCUGAAUGCCUGAGCUCCCACUCAAGGAGAGCUAUCCAGGAGAGCUGCCCGACCAGGAAUCUCCACUGUGGACUUUUGGCCUGGGGACCAUACAGGACCUGCUUAAACUUGAAAAACAGAAUUCUGCUUUCAAAUUGCUCCUGAACCCACAAGACUCUUCCAAGUUCUUUAAAAUCCGUCCAUUCCUGUGCGCCCCCUCCUCAGAGCCUGGACCGUAGUCUUCAGUUACUUGGAGUUUGGUACCUGAAGACUGCCAUCGUCUCCGGGACCCCACUCCUUUCCAGUGUAUUCAGGGCCAAGCCCUGUUGCCUCUCUCUAUGCAGCCUCCACCUGGGGCCCUCUGCCCAACUUUCCUGGCUGCUACCUCUGGGGGUCGAGCUUCCUCUCCUGGUUUGCUGCAGCCACUUCCUCACUGGCCCCUGCCUCCAGCAUCCCCCUCCCACCCGGGGAUCCUGCAGGCUGCGUUCUUUAUAAUCCCUCUGAAGCAUAGCGCUCCCGACUCCUCACAAGUCUGCUGGAAAACUUUCCACGUCUUUGUUGGCCUUGACCCCGAAUUGUCGAUGAUUUUCUGAUGGAAUCAGAGC
rnacentral:lncRNA from 1 species